GACGCCUCCAGGAUCUGUCGGCAGCUGCUGUUCUGAGGGAGAGCAGAGACCAUGUCUGACAUAGAAGAGGUGGUGGAAGAGUACGAGGAGGAGGAGCAGGAAGAAGCAGCUGUUGAAGAGCAGGAGGAGGCAGCGGAAGAGGAUGCUGAAGCAGAGGCUGAGACCGAGGAGACCAGGGCAGAAGAAGAUGAAGAAGAAGAGGAAGCAAAGGAGGCUGAAGAUGGCCCAAUGGAGGAGUCCAAACCAAAGCCCAGGUCGUUCAUGCCCAACUUGGUGCCUCCCAAGAUCCCCGAUGGAGAGAGACGGUCCACCCACAGGACAUCCACCGGAAGCGCAUGGAGAAGGACCUGAAUGAGUUGCAGGCGCUGAUCGAGGCUCACUUUGAGAACAGGAAGAAAGAGGAGGAGGAGCUCGUUUCUCUCAAAGACAGGAUCGAGAGACGUCGGGCAGAGCGGGCCGAGCAGCAGCGCAUCCGGAAUGAGCGGGAGAAGGAGCGGCAGAACCGCCUGGCUGAAGAGAGGGCUCGACGAGAGGAGGAGGAGAACAGGAGGAAGGCUGAGGAUGAGGCCCGGAAGAAGAAGGCUUUGUCCAACAUGAUGCAUUUUGGGGGUUACAUCCAGAAGGUAGACAGAGCGGAAAAGUGGGAAGAGGCAGACUGAGCGGGAAAAGAAGAAGAAGAUUCUGGCUGAGAGGAGGAAGGUGCUGGCCAUUGACCACCUGAAUGAAGAUCAGCUGAGGGAGAAGGCCAAGGAGCUGUGGCAGAGCAUCUAUAACUUGGAGGCAGAGAAGUUCGACCUGCAGGAGAAGUUCAAGCAGCAGAAAUAUGAGAUCAAUGUUCUCCGAAACAGGAUCAACGAUAACCAGAAAGUCUCCAAGACCCGCGGGAAGGCUAAAGUCACCGGGCGCUGGAAAUAGAGCCUGGCCUCCUUCACCAAAGAUCUGCUCCUCGCUCGCACCUGCCUCCGGCCUGCACUCCCCCAGUUCCCGGGCCCUCCUGGGCACCCCAGGCAGCUCCUGUUUGGAAAUGGGGAGCUGGCCUAGGUGGGAGCCACCACUCCUGCCUGCCCCCACACCCACUCCACACCAGUAAUAAAAA
rnacentral:lncRNA from 1 species